ensembl:lncRNA
AAGCCUCCCUCUCCUUGUUUGGACAGGUAAGAAGUCUGCCUCUCACUUCAAAAACGGCCUUUUGUCCGGCUUGCUGGACAGGGCUCAGGGAGUUCCUUUGGGACUCAUUAGGGAGGAAUGAGACCAGUUAAGCUCAGGUCAGGACGACACAGUGGGAAGGCAGCUGGAAGCCACGGCAGCAUGGGGUGGGGAGUGGCGCCCUCUGAGUGGGUGGGCAUGGGAUUGGCUCAGUCUGGGCUUCCUGCGAAAGGAGAUGCCCAGGGGCCGUGACCCCCUUCUGACACCCUCACCAGGAGGGUCAGCAACGUGUAACACUGUGGAUUACAACUGACUGUUUUGAUGGGCUCAGGUUCUUCAUGGAAAAUGAUCACUUCCUGUUAUUAGCCGGACUUGCCAUGCUCCCACGUUUUUCCAUUUGGAUCCCAAGCCUGGACCCUGGGAAGCAUUGUAGGCCCCCUCUCUCCCUCAGCCCACACACAGAAGACCUGCCAUUCUCUUCUCUGUAAUAACUCUCCACAGGCAUCACCACUGUCUGAACUCAGUCAUUCAUUUGACAAGUAUUUGAGUGUUUGUGUGCCAGCCUCUGGGAAUGGGUGAUGUGCAGACUCAGUCAUCACCCUCCUGCCCUCCUCAAGCAGAGAGUUUAGGAAAUUAAAGUUGUCAUCGGUCUUACCCAGACCUUCUCACUGGGCUUCUCUGUUCCUUCUCACCUUUGCUGACCAGUUCAUUCUCCAGUGUAGUGUCCAGCACAUUAAAAGCAAAACAAAUAAAAUAACCAGCAAAGUAACAAAUAAACUCUCCAAACUACAUCUUCAUCCUGUCUCUCUUCUUGGUGGUAGGAAAGGGAAGAGGCACUAGAUGAAGGAGUCAGAAAGCAAAGACUGAAUUUUAGCUCCUCCCUUUCAGUGUGACUUCUGGGACGUGUCAGUUCCCUAACCUUGAGAAUGGAGCUGGAGCAGAUAACACAACACUGUAAUUUGUCCUGAUUUUAAAAAUAACUCUGUCUUGUGAUGGAGCUUUACACGGUCUUACUCGAUCCUCAUAAUGACCCUAGAAAGGAUACUAUUUAUUGAGCACAAGGCUAACAUACUCAGCUUUAGA